UAGUAAUACUCCUUUGUGAGUGUUUUUAAAUAGGCAUAGAGAAAAAUCUUUAGCGGGUCAAUUUCUCUAUGUUUUUAUUAUAUCA
rnacentral:antisense_RNA from 1 species